AGGUUUCUUACUCAUUUCUCGAUCCAGACAGAUUGUACUUUGAUAUAUAUCGAUCCAUCACCAUCAGCCUAUGUAUAGUCUAUUCAGGGAACCCAUUAAAUUGUUGAGUUAAGCCAGGAGGGAGUUGCAAGGUGGGUAGUGUGUGAAAAUGGAGAGAAAAUCAUGGGUUUGUACUCUAAUCACACAGAUCUCUCUCUGCUUUGCUCUCUUUGUUGCUCUCCAAAUUGGUCGUCCUCAGAAGCCAAUAAUGUACCAUAACACAACUGAGACAAGUCAUCAUGAUAUUUAUUUCAUCAGUGUUAGAGGAGGCUCUAGACCUCCUAAACAACAGACCGAUCUUCUCAAACAAAUGGCUGAGGUGGUAAAGACGUACAAGGCAAGGUUUGUUAUCAACAUUAGUGAACUUGGGGAAGAUGAUCCACUCAUGCUGAAUGCUACGUGGAAUUUUCAGUCAUUUAAAGUUCCCUGGUAUACAACAAAAGCUUCAAAAUUACGAGGAGCAGGAUACUUUGUCAAGCAGGUCAAAAUCCCCUAUGGGCAAACCUUAGAUGUUAUUUUUGUGGAUACCAGCUCACUGCAGGAUACUUCAAAUGAUGGCCAAAAUGAUCAGUUAAACUGGCUAAUGAGUACUCUCGAAGCAAGCAAUGCUAGCUGGCGUAUCAUUGCUGGAUUCCACUCAAUUGUAGCUUGUGAUAAGAAUAUCGAACAAAUGGAAACAAAAGAAGCUGUUGAGCCUCUGCAUCGAAUAUUCCUAAAAUAUGGAGUGAAUGCAUACCUGAGCGGACAGCCGUGUGCUAACAGUUUCCAUACAGACAAUGACAUCAGCAACAGAGGUCCGGUGACCAAAGGACCAUAUUUUACUACCAUGCAUCAAAGGCCGGUUUUUAAAAAAUUACAGAACAGUUAACGGGUUCCUUCUUCACAGAGUGAGCUCACUAGAAAUUGUGAACUAUUUUGUUACCUUGACAGGGGAAGUUGUGGACAGACUUGCUCUCCAACAAUGGGGAAAAGAGGCCAUGUAAAAGGGAUUCUAACCUUUCCAUAGUGAGCUGGUCUAAUAUUUACAAAUAUGAGAGAUGUUUUCAUCUAUAGCACUCAUAGUUAUUGUUGGAUGCAAGAGGAAAACAUUAGUAAUUAAUGAUCAAAUAUUAAAGGAUCCUUUUGGAUGGAUGUAAAUUUCAAAUCAAGCAAUUUGAGGUUGCUUGAACCAUGGGCAUAGGCUAUCGUGUGAAGUACGAAACUUCCCAACUAGUAUAUAUAAUAUAAUUUACUUUUUGAAUUCAAUUUU